CAGUCGCCGCGGUAAUACGUAGGUGGCAAGCGUUGUCCGGAAUUAUUGGGCGUAAAGGGCUCGCAGGCGGUUUCUUAAGUCUGAUGUGAAAGCCCCCGGCUCAACUGGGGAGGGUCAUUGGAAACUGGGAAACUUGAGUGCAGAAGAGGAGAGUGGAAUUCCACGUGUAGCGGUGAAAUGCGUAGAGAUGUGGAGGAACACCAGUGGCGAAGGCGACUCUCUGGUCUGUAACUGACGCUGAGGAGCGAAAGCGUGGGGAGCGAACAGGAUUAGAUACCCCCGUAGUCCCUGUCUCUUAUAC
rnacentral:rRNA from 1 species